UAAAGAGUAAAUUUAUACCAAAAAAUUAAAAGUUAAGAUCUUAAAAGUUAAAUAUUUUGGCGGUGUUUUAGUCUUUUCAGAGGAACCUGUUCUUUAAUUGAUACUCCACAAUAAAAUUUACUUUUUUUAGAAAUUUAUAUAUCGUUGUUAAAGUUAUUUUUGUUGAAAAUAAUAAUUAAAAUUUUAUAAGAAAGAAAUUCAGAUCAAGGUGUAGUUUAUAAGAAAGUAGAAAUGGGUUACUAUUAUUAAAUUCAGAUAAAGUUUUAAAAAAAUUAUUGAAGUUGGAUUUGAAAGUAAUAUUAAUUAUUUUAUUAAUAUGAUAAAGCUCUAAAAUAUGU
rnacentral:rRNA from 1 species